CAACUGAGAAACAUGUUUUAUUAAAAUAAAAGUUAAACACCAAAACACACACUUAAAGUGUGUGUUCUGGUCGACAUUUUCCACAGGAGCAAAGGAACUCCUUUGUUCAACCCUAACUAGUCUAAAUCCAAGAAAUUGAGAGGCCAAAUCAGUCCCAAAUCGAAAUCCAAGCAUGGAUUAGUGAUCACCUCAGUGAAAUGAUCAUAAGUUUGACGCCUAACGAGCUAGGUGGAGGCUUGGGAAAGGAAGCGGGUCAAACAAAUCAAGAAAGGAGGAAAAGCACAAUUCGGAAGCAAGAAAUAAAUAUCGGAUGGAUAUGUACAUCGCUAUCGCUUAGCGGCUACUAAGGCAAGGUAUCGAAACGAAUCAAUAUAUUGAUUCAAGCCAGGUAUGUAUAUUUGGUCAAAUCAUCAUUAGAACUUGAAGCUCAAUGAGGGCUAAACAAGUUAAAAUGGACAUUGGGUUAUCUUUUAAGUAAACCGAAUGAUUUAGGUUAUUGUCAUUAUGUUUUAAGAACAUGAUGUCUAUUUAAACAAGAUUCCUAGUUCAACCAGUGGAAUUUUGGUCAAUUACAACAUGAAAAGUCCUUUGUUGUAAAGAAAGGGUUUAAGGUGACUAAAACGCCCUCGUAAGCAAAAUCGAGUAAAUGAACCUUAAGAGUCGUUUAAAAACAAGUUAUAUGAUCAAGCAAAUACUUUGAACAAGUAUAGAGAAUAAAAAGGGUAAAUCUUGGGUCAAAAGACUCAAUAUAAGUCUUUGUCGUAAAUUAGCAAUCCGACGAGAAAAACUCGGAUUAUAUAGAUCAUCUCAUUGAGCUCACCACAAAUUUAGUUGUGGUUGAAGAUCUCAUAAUAAGUAAUGUGGUAUAAUAACGCUAGAAACGGAUGAAAGCGUUUCAUGCUCAAAAUAUGCAUAAAUACCCUUAACGGGUCAAAAUAUGCAUAUGAGCGUAAACGGGUUUAAGAUACGUAAGGAACCCGUGACUUGAACCUAAUAUGAUAGGAAUUAUUGAAAUUAUGAUUACCGUGAAAAUAAGGAUCAAACAAACAUGUUUCGUUUGAUAAAAACAUGAAUGGGUCAAAAUUACGGCAAAUUGGAAAAGCUGGAUGCAGGGUCCACCGUAAAUUACGGUGCCACCGUAAUUUACGGUGGAGAUGAAAAGUCUUACGGUAGCCCCCUACUGGUUUACGGUAGGGGCAUGUAAAACCAGUGGCCACCGUAAAUUACGGUGCCACCGUAAUUUACGGUGGAGGUCAGGUUGAAAUUAUUGUUUUGUUACCAAUUGUUUCUCGGACCCGUUUAGACACGUU